rnacentral:rRNA from 1 species
GUGCCUAAUACAUGCAAGUAGAACGCUGAAGAGAGGAGCUUGCUCUUCUUGGAUGAGUUGCGAACGGGUGAGUAACGCGUAGGUAACCUGCCUGGUAGCGGGGGAUAACUAUUGGAAACGAUAGCUAAUACCGCAUGAAAUUGCUUAUCGCAUGAUAAUUAAUUGAAAGAUGCAAUUGCAUCACUACCAGAUGGACCUGCGUUGUAUUAGCUAGUUGGUGAGGUAACGGCUCACCAAGGCGACGAUACAUAGCCGACCUGAGAGGGUGAUCGGCCACACUGGGACUGAGACACGGCCCAGACUCCUACGGGAGGCAGCAGUAGGGAAUCUUCGGCAAUGGGGGGAACCCUGACCGAGCAACGCC